AAUUCUUGUUUUAGCAAAAUAUGUUAGAAUAGAAGAUCUUUAUUGUCAUUGUACAUGAAAUUAUCUGCAAACCAGCAAAGUGCAUCAGUCUGAGGUAUCUAAAAAUAAAUAAGUAAAGAAAAAUGCUUCUAAAGCCAAUAAUAAACAGAAUAUUUUGAGGGAAUAUUCUAAAAAGGAAAGAAAAGCUCCAUUUUCACUCCUCUCAGGAUAAACUGUCAUUAAAAUUGACUUUAAAUUUAGCUUCAACAUGAGAUAAAAACAUUUACUUUCAUUACUGAUGUUGUCCAGUUUUAAUAAAGUUCAUGCUACUUUUAUAAAAUGAUGAAAGUGAAUAAAUUGUAUUUCUGUGAUCUGUGUUUGAUUUCUGUCUUUUCUCCUGUCAUCCAGAUGUUCAGAGGGAGCUGAUGCCACAUCUGGUCCAGCUGAUGGAAGGUCUUGAAGUUCUCUGACUGGCCUCGACUGAAGAUGGUCGUCUCACUGGAUUUAAGGUUCAGAUGCUCAGUAACAAACUCCACCAAUGAGCCAACAGGGAAGCUUUAGGUUUAUUAAAUGUUGCUAUGAAGGUAUCGCUGUUUUUCUUUGUGAAUGCAAUGAGCUCCAACUGAAACUUGACUCCAAGCAUUUACUGGACUGAUUUAAAUAUUAAAAUCCCUCCUUUCUAAUCCUCUGCUGUACGUUCAAACCUGAGGCCUUAAAUAGAAACACACAAGUAUCUGAUUGAAGGAACUUCUGCAGAGUCCUGGUUCCAGAACAUGAUGAUAGAAUUAUAGACAAACUUUAACAAAAGCUGCCUGAGAGUUUACAGGUUUUUAUGUUAGAUUUCUUCAGUAAUUUAAUGAGAGUUAUCAGCAAAAAUCAAGGGUUCAUUUGAUGAACUUCAUUUCCUAAAACAUCCAGAAUUGGAGCUCAUAUCUUUGGCAGCUGUAAAGUUUCUGCUCCUUCAAAGUUCACAACACAAUGAAUGAAUUCCUAAAACACUCUCAAUGCUGGAGAGCGUUUGUGAUGCUGAAGCAGUCAGCAGUUUUUCUGUUUCUUCUCUGGAGAGGCACAAUGAGGAACAUCUGCAGAGACUGAGAAAGAGUCUCACCACAUCCUGACAUGAGGAAAAAGACUUUAUUGAAGACUUCAAUGAGAAAAACUAUCAGACAGCAGAGGGCUGCAUUCAAGUCUGUAGCUGCUGAAUUCAUGGAUGAAUCAUCUGGCACUAGAGAGGAAGACCAUCAAACAUCCACGUCAGCUGAUGGAGGUCCAAGAGUCUCACCCAACAAACAACCUACAGAGUGAAGACCUCCAAUCUGAUUGGACGGCCUCCUAUUCAGCCACAUGUGUGAACAAAUGCCUCUAAGCUGAUUUGUUUUCUAAAAUAAAUCUAGUUUGAGUCCUAA